UUCCAUGUGGCCUAGCAGGUUAAAGAUCUGACAUUGUCACUGUCGUGGCUCAGGUUUGAUUCCUGGCCUGGGAA
rnacentral:tRNA from 1 species